rnacentral:rRNA from 1 species
UACGGAGGGUGCAAGCGUUAUCCGGAUUCACUGGGUUUAAAGGGUGCGUAGGAGGGCAGGUAAGUCAGUGGUGAAAUCCCCGAGCUUAACUUGGGAACUGCCGUUGAUACUAUCUGUCUUGAAUGUUGUGGAGGUGAGCGGAAUAUGUCAUGUAGCGGUGAAAUGCUUAGAUAUGACAUAGAACACCAAUUGCGAAGGCAGCUCGCUACACAAUUAUUGACUCUGAUGCACGAAAGCGUGGGGAGCAAACAGG